AUGAUUCCGGAAGAGACUAGCAAAACAAACCGAAAGACGCGGGGAACGAACGGAAAUGGAGCGACGUCACCGCAGCAGGGCAGAAAAACGGAGGAAGAGAAACACGGAAAGUUUGCGGCAAAACUACUAAAGAAAUACAGUUCCAGAUGUCUGGACGUGACUGUGAUGGUGAAGAGAAGAUCGAGCUCGAGGAGAAGACGUUACAAGUGGGUCUUUAUAAGAAGUGAUGCCUGUGUCUUUCAAUUAAUAAUCGAAAUAAGAAGCCUAUUGUUUUGGUCCGCACAAGGCCUAAUUGACUGCCUUCACGUGAAACAUUAGGUUAUACUCAAUUACAUUUUUGGCCAUGCUUACAAUUAUUGCAUUUGGGGGGAAAUUAUGUAUGUGAUUCAUAACCACGAGAGCAAAAAGAAAAAAAGAAAACUGUGGCGAUGUCAGGUCAUGAAGGUGCAGCGUCUGGUUGCUCCUCCAAAUUAUGCUACAUUAAAAAAACAAAACAAAAAAUGCCUGUAGCAGAAACACUGCCAUCAGACUUUGAGACCAUCACAGCUUGCAGCAUCUUCAACCAUUCAACUGGCCGGACCGCCACAGCGAGGAAGAAUAACAGCCGUGCCAAACGAUCUUUUUUUAAGGCUGCCCCUGGCUAGUGACUGGUGACAGGAAAAGGAAAUGGACAAUAUCAAGCUGCUGGACUCGAUGGAUGCACCGUGUUCAGAGCUGGCAGAGCUCAGGACUACAGCUGGACGAGGAGAAGUGGACUCUGUGUUUAUAACAUUGAUGCUUGGUGCUCACACCUCAGCCAACGUUGAUGGACAGUGUAUCUCAGAUUUUAACUUUUGCUAUGAAGAUGCCAUCCACAUCAUCAUCAUCAUAUGGUUGCUGUUGCUUACAUUCACCCUGUCGCAUAUUCAAAAGAUGGCCUAUGUGUUCAUGUAUAUUUUGUACAUGGAUAAUUAUAUAUAGUUCUGUAAUUUGUGCAGCAUGAAAGCUUUUGUAAGAAAGUUGAAUUAAACAAAUAUACUUAUACAUGCUCUGCUAUGUUGAGGUUAAUACUCUUGCAAAGUUUGCCACAACACCGCGGUGGCACCUCUGACAUCAUUGUAAUGUAAUGGGCUCUACGCUGAAAUAUUAAUGGCCCAGCCCCAUAUGAGACCCAUGGAAACAUCUUAAUUGAAGUAGAGCCCUCUCUUGUUAUUAUCUAUAAUUGGAUUAUUAUGUGCAUGCAAACAUAGUCCAGGGGUUCAGGGUCGUAAUAUAUAAAAAGCAGACCGUGGUUACAGCAACAAAGUAGUAACCAUAAAACCUUUCUGUUCAGUUAAGACCACCAUAAUUGACUUGGUAAUUCUAUUCCAGGGAUUAAGAGUAAAACUAAAAGACAAAGAACAGAAGGCAGUAAACAGUGACUUUGUCCUUAAACUUAAGCACAAGGCAUUUCUUAAGAUUUUGACACUUAAAGGUCAGAUUACUUUUCAUGGGGACUAGUGUUUAGUCCAUGAAAACAGUUGUAUAAUGCUUGCUGUGGCUCCGAAAGAGAUUUGUCAAGUGUGGGAAAAUAAUCCCUUCUGAUGUCAUGAGGGUUAUGUCAGUUCAAUCCCCCAAAACUCACGUGGAAUGGAUAAUUAUGUGACUAUAGAGCACGUACAGUGAUGAUAUUUGGUGUUUAGGUUCUGACCUCGUCACUCUCCACAAAGAAAAAAAAAAACACUGAUCCCAGCACAGCAGCAAGGGGAGUGAUGAUGAUAACUGUGCUCUAGGGGAUGACUCAGAGCCUGCAGGUGGAGGCUGGGGUGGAGGUGGGGCUUCAAAUGCUUCGUGCACAGCAGCAGUGGAGGCAGCGGGAGCAGCAAGUGACACCACAGCCUUCAGAUGAGCUGGCAAGGCAGCAAAAGACUGAGCAGAGGAAUGAAGGCUUGAAAGAGCAGCAUUUUUCAGUUUAGAAAUAUAAAGGGCGUCAGGAUCGAUCCAGCAGACACUGAGGUAUAUUUAGUCUACAAAUUGUUUGUCCUAGUGGAAACCUUCUUCCUCGGAAACUCAACAGCCACUUAAGGACAUUUUCAUUCUUCACACAGCUGCUUGUGAAGACACAAGCGACUUAGUGCACCUAUCAAGAACACCGGAGAGCGUUAUGAAGGUGUAUUAAGUUCAUAGAUUAACUUAUGAUAAAUAAUCAAGUUUGCUGAGGACCAUUUUAAUGAAGCAAACAGAAACAAAUAAGCAAAUGAUUAAAUUAAUGAAUAAUAAGAAGAAACAUAUCUAAAAACAAGUUUACGUAAUAACUAAGUGCAACAAUAAUUCCUUAAAAAGGCUUGAUGUGGAUUUAAUAUAACACAAUGUCUGUGAUUAACAAGCAGGCCCUGAAGGCACCAUGUAGACUGCGGUCAGUUGAUGGAUUUGGGGAACUUGUUUCCGGCAGGACAUAGUCUGGCAAAAUUUGAGUUUCAGAGUCGAGAAGGAGGCCUGGUUUAAUGUUUGAAAGAGUUUUUCUGACAUGUCAACAUGUGACAGGUUUAAUAUUCAAAAUAAAAGUGAUGAAGUUGUGACACGGUGGUGGCAGACAUGGUUGGAGGUUUGGAGGUCCCAAAAAUUAGGCAGUGACAUCAGGCCAUGAACAUUUGUGUUGUGGCUUCUAUCUCAGUUUCAGAAUCAUUACACCACUAAUAUUGUGGAACAACCCACUGAACUAGCCCUCGGGGUUCACCUACUUAUGGGAUGGUGGACUACAAAUCUUUACCAGUGAGCCUGUUGAGAAGCUGGGGUCAAAAUUUGGAAAAUGUGUUAAUUAAUGUAGUUAAACAACAGUGAUUGUACAGAGUUGUAUUAUUUGAACUGUUGCUUCGCUGUUUUGAAAAAUAAAUCUUGAAUCCGCUGAAGAAUA